GACGAACGCUGGCGGCGUGCCUAAUACAUGCAAGUCGAACGAGAGCACCCGGUGCUUGCCCUGGUCAAUCUAGUGGCGAACGGGUGAGUAACACGUGGGUAACCUGCCCAUCAGAGGGGGAUAACAUCCGGAAACGGAUGCUAAAACCGCAUAGGUCUUCGAACCGCAUGGUUUGAAGAGGAAAAGAGGCGCAAGCUUCUGCUGAUGGAUGGACCCGCGGUGCAUUAGCUAGUUGGUGAGGUAACGGCUCACCAAGGCCGUGAUGCAUAGCCGACCUGAGAGGGUGAUCGGCCACAUUGGGACUGAGACACGGCCCAGACUCCUACGGGAGGCAGCAGUAGGGAAUCUUCCGCAAUGGACGCAAGUCUGACGGAGCAACGCCGCGUGAGUGAAGAAGGUUUUCGGAUCGUAAAACUCUGUUGUUAGAGAAGAACAAGUGCUAGAGUAACUGUUAGCGCCUUGACGGUAUCUAACCAGAAAGCCACGGCUAACUACGUG
rnacentral:rRNA from 1 species